UAUUGGGUGUUAACGUUUGUAAAUUAAACGCGAUUUGUAGCUAACAAUUAAACUUUUUAUUUAACUCAAAUUACAAACACGCGGAAUUGAAAUUAUGACUGUAGAUUGAGCGAGAGGAUCUGACAGUUGACGGAUAUGUCUAUGACAACUUAUGACAGCAUUGUCACACCCCUACAUCACUCUCACCCGAGUGACAUUGCCGUCACGAUGACUUUUCGCUGGAGGAUAAGUGUGCUUCGGUGGCGGUCUGGAAUACAAAUAUGUUCGUUUAAGAUCCUGACGAUUGGUGAUUCGUUCGAUAACAGGAUGCGGACCUGAGUAAGGUGGCGAUAAUGAUAUACGAACUCGAUCAUCUCGUAGAAAUACGUGUGUGGCAGAACUUAAGUUUCGGUGUACGAAUUCGACAGUUGAUUCACGAAUUGAGCUGGAUUAUCGUCAACAGUUUGAUCAUCGAAAAAUUCACCUGGCAGUCGUACAGUGGAUCCAUACAUGAGCUCGGCACAUGAUGCGUUUAAAUCAUCCUUGUAACACGAUCGUAGUCCAAGUAGAAUGGGAACGAUGCCAUCUCUCAAGAAUGCCGUUGGAAGCUGGAUGGUAUGCCGAGGUUCUUGUUCGUUCGCAACCGAUUAGUUUCGCGAGUGAUUGGAAUAGUGCCGAUUCAAACUGGGAUCCUUGAUCCGUUGUAAUUAUUCGUGGCACUCCGAAUCUGGCUAUCCAAUUGUUGUAAAAAGUUUCGGCGACUGUAUUCGCUGUCUGGUCGCUUAUCGGUAUUGCCUCCGGCCAACGAGAGAAUCGAUCUAUCAUCGUCAAACAAUAUUUGAAACCUUUCGAGAGUGGGAACGGGCCAACUAUGUCGAUGUGUACCUGAUCGAAUCGACCAUCGGGAAUGGUGAUAUGCUGAGGAACGUUCUUCGUGUGUCUGCUUACCUUCGAACGUUGACACGGUAUGCAUGUUCGGCACCAUAACAGGAUGUCUUUACGCAUAUUCGGCCAGACGAAUUUGUUGCAAAUUUGUCGCGAUGUGGAACGUCCGCUUGGAUGAGCGAGCUGGUGAAUAGUGUCGAAUACUUUUCGUCGAAGUUGGGUAGGGAUGUAAGGUCGGACUUUACUGUCGGUUACAUCACAAUAAACUGGAAGUUGUCCUGCAGUCUGUAUUGCUUGUAGUUUUAAUGAAGUUGUGUUGCUAUUUAGUAAGGCUUGAAGUUCUUGAUCUUGUUGCUGUUCAUGCGAUAGUUUGUCUGCGGUGAACGAAGAUGGUAUGGAAAUGGCGUCAACUCGUGAUAGUAAGUCGGCGACUAUGUUGCUCUUUCCUGGUAUGUGGCUGAUA
rnacentral:lncRNA from 1 species